GGUUUUCCACCCAAACAUCAACAGUAAUGGUAGUAUUUGCCUGGACAUCUUGAAAGAGCAAUGGAGUCCAGCUUUGACUAUAUCAAAGGUGUUGCUUUCUAUUUGCUCCCUUUUGACCGAUGCGAACCCAGAUGAUCCACUGGUGCCAGAAAUUGCUCAUCUGUACAAGACGGAUAGGGCCAAGUAUGAGACAACUGCAAGGAGCUGGACUCAAAAAUAUGCUAUGGGCUAGUAUGUAUUAUGGGAGGGGCAUGAGGGAU
rnacentral:misc_RNA from 1 species